UGCAGCUGUGUCAAAUUCAGUGCCUUUCCUUCACGUGGUAGGCACUGGCCCAGAAGGCUGCCACAGAAACACUGUGACUCAUGGGCCCUGUUCCUGUGUCUCCGGGCUCAGGGAUAAAUUUGGUUACAGACACCA
ensembl:snoRNA SNORA5A small nucleolar RNA, H/ACA box 5A